UGGGGAAUUGUUCGCAAUGGGCGCAAGCCUGACGACGCAACGCCGCGUGGAGGAUGAAGGUCUUCGGAUUGUAAACUCCUGUUGAUCGGGACGAAAAGCUUCAACCUAAUACGUUGAAGACUGACGGUACCGGUUGAGGAAGCCACUGCUAACUCUGUGCCAGCAGCCGCGGUAAUACAGAGGUGGCAAGCGUUGUUCGGAAUUACUGGGCGUAAAGCGUACGUAGGCGGUGACUCAAGUCAGAGGUGAAAGCCUGGAGCUCAACUCCAGAACUGCCUUUGAAACUAGGUCGCUAGAAUCACGGAGAGGUGAGUGGAAUUCCGAGUGUAGAGGUGAAAUUCGUAGAUAUUCGGAAGAACACCAGUGGCGAAGGCGGCUCACUGGACGUGUAUUGACGCUGAGGUACGAAAGCGUGGGGAGCAAACAGGAUUAGAUACCCUUGUAGUCCCUGAGCGGGCUGGCAAGGCGCAU
rnacentral:rRNA from 1 species